CACGAACCGUACGAACGUUAUUCGGAAUUACUGGGCUUAAAGGGUUUGUAGGCGGCCUUGUAAGUCAGGUGUGAAAGCCCUCGGCUCAACCGAGGAACAGCGCUUGAUACUGCAAGGCUUGAGGGAGACAGGGGUAAGCGGAACUGAUGGUGGAGCGGUGAAAUGCGUUGAUAUCAUCAGGAACACCGGUGGCGAAAGCGGCUUACUGGGUCUCUUCUGACGCUGAGGAACGAAAGCUAGGGUAG
rnacentral:rRNA from 1 species